rnacentral:rRNA from 1 species
UACGUAGGGGGCAAGCGUUGUCCGGAUUCAUUGGGCGUAAAGAGCGUGUAGGCGGCCAGGUAGGUCGGUUGUGAAAACUGGAGGCUCAACCUUCAGAGGUCGACCGAAACCAUCUGGCUAGAGUCCGGGAGAGGAGAGUGGAAUUCCUGGUGUAGCGGUGAAAUGCGCAGAUAUCAGGAAGAACACCCGUGGCGAAAGCGGCUCUCUGGAACGGUACUGACGCUGAGACGCGAAAAGCGUGGGGGAGCGAACAGGG